CAACUACCAUGUGUUGAUGGUCACAGAGUGUUUAUCCCUGGUAAAUGUUACCAAAAAGAAAAAAAAUGCAGUCACUGGUUGCAACCAGCGCAACUUCAUGUGAGGGGAGACCUGCUUGUUGAAUGUGAUUUUCUUCUCCAACAAGGUAUGGCUUCAGUUGAAUUCCCACCUUUUCACAGAAGCUGAACUAACCUGACCUCUUAAAGGCUCUGUCAAGUCUUUCAGAUGCCAUUGGUGACAUCCGGAAGUUGCAACUAUAUUUUGGCUUAAUGUUGUAAAUGCCACUGAAAACUGAAGUAUCAUCCUAACUGGAACCAUCACUAGAAUAGUGAUGAGGAAACUUUGUGGAUGUUCAGGUGUUCCAAAAACAAAAUGUGACUGAUUCGACAACAGGAGUCAUUUGGAAGAUUUGCAUUUUGAAGAGAGCAUGUGAGUGUGCCAGAAGGAUUGCAGGCUGGGUGGUGUGAGCAGAUGUUGGACAGCUGCAAUGGCAAGUACCCAUGACAGCCUGUGCACCUCCUA